AGUGAACGCUGGCGGUAGGCCUAACACAUGCAAGUCGAACGGCAGCACAGUAAGAGCUUGCUCUUACGGGUGGCGAGUGGCGGACGGGUGAGGAAUACAUCGGAAUCUACUUUUUCGUGGGGGAUAACGUAGGGAAACUUACGCUAAUACCGCAUACGACCUACGGGUGAAAGCAGGGGAUCUUCGGACCUUGCGCGAUUGAAUGAGCCGAUGUCGGAUUAGCUAGUUGGCGGGGUAAAGGCCCACCAAGGCGACGAUCCGUAGCUGGUCUGAGAGGAUGAUUCAGCACCACUGAAACUGAGACCGGGCCAGACUUCCUACGGGAGGAGCAGGGGGGAAUAUUUGACCAUUGGGGGCAGCCUUAUCCAGGCAUACCGCGUGGGUGAAGAAGGCCUUCGGGUUGUAAAGCCCUUUUGUUGGGAAAGAAAAGCAGCAGGUUAAUACCCCGCUGUUCUGACGGUACCCAAAGAAUAAGCACCGGCUAACUUCGUG
rnacentral:rRNA from 1 species